rnacentral:rRNA from 1 species
GACGAACGCUGGCGGCGUGCUUAACACAUGCAAGUCGAACGGAGUGGCGAACGGGUGAGUAACACGGGGGUGACCUGCCCUGCACUUCGGGAUAAGCCUGGGAAACUGGGGCUAAUACCGGAUAGUGUGGGAUGGGCCAGCGGCCUAUCAGUUUGUUGGUGGGGUAAUGGCCUAGCAAGGCGGCGACGGGUAGCCGGCCGGAGAGGGUGGACGGCCACAUUGGGAAUGAGACACGGCCCAGACUCCUACGGGAGGCAGCAGUGGGGAAUAUUGCACAAUGGGCGGAAGCCUGAUGCAGCGACGCCGCGUGGGGGAUGAAGGCUUUCGGGUUGUAAACCUCUUUCGCUAUCGACGGGGUAGGUGGAGAAGAAGCGCCGGCUAACUACGUGCCAGCAGCCGCGGUAAUUC